AGAGAACCUGUUACCAUGUUUCAGAGUGUCUUGGUGAACAAGCAGUUAAGGCAGCAGCUGUGGUAUUUGCAUGCUGUUUCCAAAAAAGGCUGGCACAUGGAUUCGGAGGAGCUCUCAUUCUUGCAGUGUUUAGACAGACUGGGCCGUUCUGGGCAGUUCAGUUUGUGCAGUGUCCUGUGAGCAGCAAGAACCUCUCAAAGAAAGAAAACACAACCUCACAUGUGUCAUUUGGACUACAUUGCAAUGGCAGUCACAGUCAAAAUGCUCCGUCUCCUGAUUCUGGUGGUGGUGGCUGAAUCAAGUGUGUCACCCUCCGGGGCUGGAUACUCUUGCCGUUGCUUGCAGAAAGCCCCCAGUUUACCCUGGGUGAGGAUAAGAGACUUCAACAUUGCUGAGGGACAUGAUUUAUGCGGAACUGAGAUUAUAGUUCGAAUGGCAUCUGGAAAAAAUGUUUGUAUUGAUCCUGAUCAAACCUUGGGUAGACGCUUACAAAACUGCUGGAAAAGGAUUAACCGUAAGCAGAAACUAAAACCCAGGUGCCUUUAUAAACCCACAAGAAAAGAAGUUUUAAAUGGUGAAGAUGAUAGAGGGAAGGGAGGGAGAAAAAAAAAACACGGGAAAAAAACGGGAAUUAACAUAUGACAACUUGUAGCACCCAGUUAGGGAAAACUACAGCAUCUUUGCUGAAUAUGCUUUCUUUUAAACCAUGAUUAAUCUUUUUUAAAUUCAGAUAGAUACCUGUUUUGCUAUUUCUUUACAGUUUAUAUGAAAUACAGGACAGUUUCAGUAUACAGUUUCAAAAUAUAUCCAGAGCAAUAUUACUAUUACAAUAUUGUUUUUAUCCUAAAUAAAUGUACUGUGAAAAACA
rnacentral:lncRNA from 1 species